CCUACGGGGGACUGCAGUGGGGAAUAUUGGGCAAUGGAGGAAACUCUGACCCAGCAACGCCGCGUGAAUGAUGAAGGUCUUCGGAUUGUAAAGUUCUUUUCUAAGGGAAGAAGAAAGUGACGGUACCUUAGGAAUAAGCCUCGGCUAACUACGUGCCAGCAGCCGCGGUAAUACGUAGGAGGCAAGCGUUAUCCGGAAUGACUGGGCGUAAAGGGUGCGUAGGUGGUUUGAUAAGUUGGUAGCGUAACUCCGAGGCGCAACCCCGGCACUACUACCAAAACUGUCGGACUUGAGUGCAGGGGGGGCAACUGGAAUUCCUAGUGUAGCGGUGGAAUGCGUAGAUAUUAGGAGGAACACCAGUGGCGAAGGCGAGUUGCUGGACUGUAACUGACACUGAGGCACGAAAGCGUGGGGAGCAAACAGGAUUAGAUACCCCAGUAGUC
rnacentral:rRNA from 1 species